rnacentral:rRNA from 1 species
CAGUAGCCGCGGUAACACGAAGGGGGCUAGCGUUGCUCGGAAUCACUGGGCGUAAAGGGUGCGUAGGCGGGUCUUUAAGUCAGGGGUGAAAUCCUGGAGCUCAACUCCAGAACUGCCUUUGAUACUGAAGAUCUUGAGUUCGGGAGAGGUGAGUGGAACUGCGAGUGUAGAGGUGAAAUUCGUAGAUAUUCGCAAGAACACCAGUGGCGAAGGCGGCUCACUGGCCCGAUACUGACGCUGAGGCACGAAAGCGUGGGGAGCAAACAGGAUUAGAUACCCCAGUAGUCCCUGUCUCUUAUAC